rnacentral:lncRNA from 1 species
GAUGACAAUAUUGAAGCAAACGUUGGUGAUAAUAUUGGAACAAUGUCAGGUGGAAGUAUAGCUGCAUCUUCUGUUUCGAAUGAAAAUG